rnacentral:tRNA from 1 species
GGGGUUGUGGCUCAGUGGUAGCGCACUCGUCUGUCAUGUGUGAGGCAUUGGGUUUGAUCCUCAGCACCCCA